rnacentral:rRNA from 1 species
GAUGAACGCUGGCGGCGUGCCUAACACAUGCAAGUCGAGCGAUUCUCUUCGGAGAAGAGCGGCGGACGGGUGAGUAACGCGUGGGUAACCUGCCCUGUACACACGGAUAACAUACCGAAAGGUAUGCUAAUACGAGAUAAUAUACUUUUAUCGCAUGGUAGAAGUAUCAAAGCUUUUGCGGUACAGGAUGGAUCCGCGUCUGAUUAGCUAGUUGGUAAGGUAACGGCUUACCAAGGCGACGAUCAGUAGCCGACCUGAGAGGGUGAUCGGCCACAUUGGAACUGAGACACGGUCCAAACUCCUACGGGAGGCAGCAGUGGGGAAUAUUGCACAAUGGGCGAAAGCCUGAUGCAGCAACGCCGCGUGAGCGAUGAAGGCCUUCGGUCGUAAGCUCUGUCCUCAAGGAAGAUAAUGACGGUACUUGAGGAGGAAGCCCCGGCUAACUACGUG